rnacentral:rRNA from 2 species
GAGUCUUAACCGGGCGUUAAGUUGCAGGGUAUAGACCCGAAACCCGGUGAUCUAGCCAUGGGCAGGUUGAAGGUUGGGUAACACUAACUGGAGGACCGAACCGACUAAUGUUGAAAAAUUAGCGGAUGACCUGUGGCUGGGGGUGAAAGGCCAAUCAAACCGGGAGAUAGCUGGUUCUCCCCGAAAGCUAUUUAGGUAGCGCCUCGUGAAUUCAUCUCCGGGGGUAGAGCACUGUUUCGGCUAGGGGGCCAUCCCGGCUUACCAACCCGAUGCAAACUGCGAAUACCGGAGAAUGUUAUCACGGGAGACACACGGCGGGUGCUAACGUCCGUCGUGAAGAGGGAAACAACCCAGACCGCCAGCUAAGGUCCCAAAGUCAUGGUUAAGUGGGAAACGAUGUGGGAAGGCCCAGACAGCCAGGAUGUUGGCUUAGAAGCAGCCAUCAUUUAAAGAAAGCGUAAUAGCUCACUGGUCGAGUCGGCCUGCGCGGAAGAUGUAACGGGGCUAAACCAUGCACCGAAGCUGCGGCAGCGACACUGUGUGUUGUUGGGUAGGGGAGCGUUCUGUAAGCCUGCGAAGGUGGCCUGUGAGGGUUGCUGGAGGUAUCAGAAGUGCGAAUGCUGACAUAAGUAACGAUAAAGCGGGUGAAAAGCCCGCUCGCCGGAAGACCAAGGGUUCCUGUCCAACGUUAAUCGGGGCAGGGUGAGUCGACCCCUAAGGCGAGGCCGAAAGGCGUAGUCGAUGGGAAACGGGUUAAUAUUCCCGUACUUGGUGUUACUGCGAAGGGGGGACGGAGAAGGCUAUGUUGGCCGGGCGACGGUUGUCCCGGUUUAAGCGUGUAGGUGUGUGUUCCAGGUAAAUCCGGUUCACUUUAACACUGAGGCGUGACGACGAGGCACUACGGUGCUGAAGCAACAAAUGCCCUGCUUCCAGGAAAAGCCUCUAAGCAUCAGGUAACAUCAAAUCGUACCCCAAACCGACACAGGUGGUCAGGUAGAGAAUACCAAGGCGCUUGAGAGAACUCGGGUGAAGGAACUAGGCAAAAUGGUGCCGUAACUUCGGGAGAAGGCACGCUGACACGUAGGUGAAGUGAUUUACUCAUGGAGCUGAAGUCAGUCGAAGAUACCAGCUGGCUGCAACUGUUUAUUAAAAACACAGCACUGUGCAAACACGAAAGUGGACGUAUACGGUGUGACGCCUGCCCGGUGCCGGAAGGUUAAUUGAUGGGGUCAGCGCAAGCGAAGCUCCUGAUCGAAGCCCCGGUAAACGGCGGCCGUAACUAUAACGGUCCUAAGGUAGCGAAAUUCCUUGUCGGGUAAGUUCCGACCUGCACGAAUGGCGUAAUGAUGGCCAGGCUGUCUCCACCCGAGACUCAGUGAAAUUGAACUCGCUGUGAAGAUGCAGUGUACCCGCGGCAAGACGGAAAGACCCCGUGAACCUUUACUAUAGCUUGACACUGAACAUUGAGCCUUGAUGUGUAGGAUAGGUGGGAGGCUUUGAAGUGUGGACGCCAGUCUGCAUGGAGCCGACCUUGAAAUACCACCCUUUAAUGUUUGAUGUUCUAACGUGGACCCGUUACCCGGGUUGCGGACAGUGUCUGGUGGGUAGUUUGACUGGGGCGGUCUCCUCCUAAAGAGUAACGGAGGAGCACGAAGGUUGGCUAAUCCUGGUCGGACAUCAGGAGGUUAGUGCAAUGGCAUAAGCCAGCUUGACUGCGAGCGUGACGGCGCGAGCAGGUGCGAAAGCAGGUCAUAGUGAUCCGGUGGUUCUGAAUGGAAGGGCCAUCGCUCAACGGAUAAAAGGUACUCCGGGGAUAACAGGCUGAUACCGCCCAAGAGUUCAUAUCGACGGCGGUGUUUGGCACCUCGAUGUCGGCUCAUCACAUCCUGGGGCUGAAGUAGGUCCCAAGGGUAUGGCUGUUCGCCAUUUAAAGUGGUACGCGAGCUGGGUUUAGAACGUCGUGAGACAGUUCGGUCCCUAUCUGCCGUGGGCGCUGGAGAACUGAGGGGGGCUGCUCCUAGUACGAGAGGACCGGAGUGGACGCAUCACUGGUGUUCGGGUUGUCAUGCCAAUGGCACUGCCCGGUAGCUAAAUGCGGAAGAGAUAAGUGCUGAAAGCAUCUAAGCACGAAACUUGCCCCGAG